ACAGGUUGUGCCCGCCGUCAGAUUUGCUAAUAACCAGGUCAACCGGUUAAUGAAGAGGCCAUCCAGUAUGGCUAUCUCCUGCCGUUUCAUUUUUGUUCUUGUUAUGGCGUGGAUUGCCGUGCAGCUCGCAUCAGGACAAAGAAGAUACUGUACGCUUACUCCGUACCUGGGACGGGUUACGAAUGGACGCAAAAUCCUGGGGAAGGAACAUAACCCCUCUCCACAAGAUGGCCUGGCACGCGCCUGGUACCCGUUCACAUUGACUGUAUCAUGUAACUUCGGGUAUCACGUGACUGGAAGAGGAGGAGCCGCAAGAAUGGCUGUGAUGCGGUGCAUGGAAGAUGGUACUUGGUUAGGAGACUCUGCUGGUUCCUUGCCAACAUGUUCAGAGAUAUAUUGCACUGUUCCAAGGCACACUCGUCGAUUAUGGUGGACCAACCGUGGAACUACUGUUCUCCACGGAAGAGCAGUGAAUGUACAAUGUGUUCCUGGUUACUACAUAACCGGUCAAUCACAAUCUACCACGCAGAAGCGUAUCACUUGUGGAAAUGGCGGUCAAUGGACACCAUCUGUGCCAUCUU